ACGUUUGAGUUGGCGGUUGGCGGUUACUUCAAGAUGGCGAGUAAGGCCCGUCUCUUUACCUCAGGAGGGGAUUUGAGUUCAUGAACAAUGUGAGCAUAAGAUAUCCAAGAGAAAUCAGCAGCAUAUUAUAUAUAAAUGCAUCGUGAGGAAAAGCAGUUUGCCAUAUAAGGAACAGUAUACUGUAGGCAAGUAAUUGCAGGAACGUGUAUCUGAAGAAGUGUGCCUUCACACGAAAGCUUAGUUGGUCUCUAAGGUGCUACUGGGCAAUUUAUUAUUAUUAUUAUUUAUCUAUUUUGACUGCCUCAGACCAACACAGCUACCUACCUGAAUCAUGUCCUAUUUUGUUUUCCAUGCAGUCGUUAUCUGCAUAUACUGUUCCUUUCUCUCAUUAUUCGCCUAGACUGUCCUCUUCCCUGAGAGCCAUUUACUGUAUAUAUAAUUUUUGUUGAUUUCCCUUUGGUAUUAUUAUGCUCACAUCUUUUAGGAACUAAAAGAGGGCUGGUGUUGAUCGCUGCAGCAAUUGGGUGGGCGAUUGGUGGCUUCUGCCAGCGAGGGGACAGGCAGACAAUAGGUGGGCUUUGCGACGCGGACGAGUGGCAGCGUAGGUCCGGCGGCUCUCCUGAACCUUCAGGCUGACUCGGACCUGGCUGUAUCCACCGCUGGAAAGGCUGCCAGUGAGGUUAGAUGGCGCGGCAGUCAGAUCACCGGAGCAAAAUAAUGCCUGAUUAGAGUACAUUUAGACCACCUAUCAACAAUCUACUUCGGGCUGAGGUAGUGAAGAAAAGCAUAAAGAAGGUGUUUUCACUGCCCUCCUUAAAGCUGACAAAGCUCAAAGCUGGGACUCCCAUGCAAGGAACACAGAGCCAGGUGACUGGACCUUCUACUUCUAUUUGUAAGCUACAAAUAAU